GAAGCCCCGUGUGUUGCUUUGUGUGUGCAUCAGUCUCUCGAGAACCCCCUGUGAAUCAGGAGGCAUACGUUCCAGUGACUAUAGGGAGUCGAGGGGCUAAAGAGGAAGCUGAUGCUUACAACAAUGGAGAUUAGCAAUACCUGGACAGAGUUGAGCUUCAAAGGAUACUGAGAAAUGGCUAAAGCAGAUGAUAAAGAAAAAAUGAGGAAAUGCUGUGAAGAACUAAUAGAACGUUUCAGAAGCAGAACAAGUCGAGAGCAGUGAUGACCCUUUUCUUCCUGCUAGUACCUCCUGUCUGUCUGGCUGAACUCACCAUCAGAUGAUGUCUUGAACCUCACCUAGAUGGGCUGGUGGUGUGUGGCCAGGUUAAGAGCACCAACAGGAGUAAGAAAGUGACCUGCCUGGUUUUACCGUGUGCACUAGGGGAGGGGUUGAAAGCUUUCGGUUGAUACAUCACCUCUGGGAGUUGAAGAAGAAUGCAAUUAAGAGAGCUAAAGAAGUCAGUAGGUAUCUCUCCUGAACAAUUCUGGUUUUCUUCUAAUAGCUUUUACAAUUUUUACCUCUGUUAUGAAAUGCAAACUUUUAACCAAUAUUAGUAAUAGUAAUCUCAAAUCUCAUCAUCAUCAAAAUCUUAUUUAUGAAAUGUAGGAGUUAGUUCAUAUACAGCCUUAGCCUUUUCCACAUUAUAAAAUAUAUUCCAUAUAUAUGUGUGAUCUUCAUUUAAUAUUCAAGUAAAUGUUGUAAGAUAUUGUUAUUUUUAUUCUAACAUUUCACAGGUAUAGAAUCUGAAACUCAGAGGUCAACUGAUGUGUCAAAGAUACCUCCACAAAUCAGUACCUUGAUUAAAACUAAAAUUGGAGUCAUCUUCAUAUCUUCAUCUUUCUCCCUCUUCAUUAGGACCGAUUGUAGUCUGUUUCCCUCUCACUCACUUGCAAUCUUUAUUGCUUUAGUGUUGCAUUUGAUUUUUAUCUUUGUUUUUGUUUUAAAUACUGUCAUUAAAGUCAUAGAAAAAUCUAAAGUAAAACUGGUUGAAUAAAAAUUUUAAAAUCGA